UUUCCAGUAUUUAUAUACUUCAUAAUGUUUAUAUUGCAAAGCUGUUAAAAUAAUCAUUAUUGAUAUACAGAGUCAUAUAGUUCUUUAAAUUAGUUAUUACAUUUAAUGUGGGAUGUGCAAUGACACAUUUAGAUUUCUAACUGUAGCUUUGGCUGUAUUUUAUUUUAUGUUAUUAAUAAAAUGGUGUUCUAAAUUUUACAAUUAUAUUAUCUUCGUACUGUUUUCCUAAAGAGUCUUUGUAAAAAGCCAAAUCUCGUAACUCCCUAUUUCACAUGUGGUCUGGAAUCUUCUGCCCUGUAAAAGAGACAUAACUGCAGUCCACUCCAAUGAAACCUCCCCCAAUGAAAAUGUCACAUCUUCUUCACAUUAAUUUAUUCGUUUAUAACAAAGUGGAUUUAUGGCUGCCCUACUACUUCUGGGUUAACACUGACAGCCCAUGCUGAGUUACUACUUUCCACCUGAACAACACCACACACGCCUCCCACACUUUUACGAGAUUCUCUUUGUUGUGGGCCGAGAGCACAGGAUACGCGGCUCUUGGUGCGCUGUCUCCCCUUCAGCAGCCAUCAGCUCUGUGAGCGCUGACCCGCCAAUUUACUGUGACACUGCCAGUCUGCUGAUAUCACUCAUAAAACUCACUGAUUGACGACGAGGGAAGAAGGUGCGUUCAGUCAUCACGGAAUGUCAUAAAUUCACAUGCACACACUUGGAUGGUGUUGUCGUGGCUCCAUGUGUCACGGUUUGGGUGCACUGGUAUAUCACAGAGUGCUCAUGAUGAUGCCCUUCACUCUCAUUGAGGUUUUACCGCUGUAAAUCAGAGGUCUGUAUGCAUGUGUGUAUAUCUUCUGUUGAUUAAAGAGUUAGAUGUCGUUAAUAUGUGGUAGAUCUCCCUGACAUUACGGUAUAAAUACUGUCAAGAGUGCAGUGACUUUGCAUGGGUCAGAAAGCUAGUUCUUUCUUUGAUUCUAAAUUGUUAGAAAAACUGUUUCAGACAUAAUCUUAAUGCAUUUUUAUAUGAGCCUGCAAAUGUAAGGGAAUUUUAUUAUUAUUUUUAUACUUUAGAAUCUUGUGCCUGGUGUAGAAACAUUUUUCAUUCAGAAAUUGCUAGUAAAUUUCACAAACGGUUACAAAGAUAUGGCAAUUAACACACUGAAUUUAGAAAAGUUUGAAGAAAAACUAAAAAAAAAAAAAACAUAUUCCUUUAAUCUUUGUUUUGUUUAUAGUGGAGUUGUUAAAAAUAAUCUGUGUUUUUGAUUGUUUUCUUAGUACAAGCUUUAACACAAAAGAUUCUCAUUUUUGCAGUAAAAAUAGAAUAAAAAUAUAUGUAAUUUAAAAAGUGCUCAAAAGUUUGGUCUUUUAAAACUUUUUCUUUUUUGGCUUUACUGUAAAAAAUUAUCUUUUGAAGUUGUAUAUAAAACAUUAAUUACUGGAGAUUAUAGGAGUGUGUUUUACAAGCAAAUUCUAUUCCGGUCUUUCUACUUCCAAAAAAAAUAAAUAAAUAAAUAAAAAUUAUUGCUGUUUCUUUCUAAGUGUUUGUGAAAUUUACCAGUGAUUUCUGAGUGAAAAUUGUUUCUACAGUAUUUUUUUCCCCCCAGUGUAUCUAUAAAAUAUUUAUAUACUUUUUUUACAAAUGCCUAUGUAGUAAUCAUGGACUGUAAAAGUAAUGGAACUUCAUUGUGGGUGGGAAGCUUGUGUUUUAAAGUGUAGCAUGUCAGGGCAGAUCUAGACCACACAUGAUCAAAACUCCUCUGCUUUACCCAAACCCAUCACAGAUGCAUAUCACAGGCUUGCCGUCUCCCACGGUGUGUGCAGGUCGGCCAUCCAUCCCUGCCCCUGUUCAUUAGAUGCCGUCGCCUGGCCUGCCAGCGCUGCGGAUGCAGAGUGUGAAGCGGAGAGGCUGAGAAUGUGUCAGGCUUGUCCACUGCCGCCACACUUUGCUUAUUUUUCCCCCAGGCAGCCAUCAAGGGUUGCAAGACAUGCUGAGAUUAACUUCAUAUAUAAUUCAUCAUCCUGCACGCAUUCUCCGACAGGCCGCUCCCUAUCUAACUCAAUUUAGCAUUAAAACCCUUCCAUGUGUCUCCCCCUCGCUCUCCCCCCCAACAAAUCUUAUUCAGUGUAUUCUGGAACCCACAUUCCCCUUUAUAGUAUCGCAAGCGGAUAAGCAGCAUUUCCAAGCAGCUCACAUAAAUAACACAUGCACUCAUUUAUUCUCUCUAUCCUGUCUUUGUUUUUGUCCUCCAUCUAUUUUUCCCCUGUGGAUGUAAGGAAUUCAAAGCUUAACCCUCUUGUUCUGUUUCUUCUCAGAGAGCCAAAAGACUAUUUCAAUAGAUUUGAAAAUGGUAUUAGGUUGAUUUUUCCCAACCUUAUGCUGGUUUUAAUGCACUAACUGGCUUCAACCAACCUCCAUAAAAGUAUUACAUUACUUAUGUUAAAGGGAUAGUUCACCCUAAACUGAAAAUUCUGUCAUAUUUUACUCACUCUAAUGUCGUUCCAAACCUGUAUGACUUACAGUACGUUCUUUUGUUGAACAUGAAGAUAUUUCGAAAGAUGAAUGUCUGAAUGCGUUUUGUUUGUUUGUUUUUACAGUAGAAGUCAACGGUAACUAAAACUGUUUGGUUCCCAACAUUAUUCAAAAGAAAAAAAGAAAUGCAUGCAAGUUAAGAACAACGUGAAGAAGAAAGUAAGUCGUACAAGUUUGGAACGACAUGAGGAGGUGACUGAGUAGCGUGGCCCCGAGGUUAAACAGAAGUGACCUGCUUUUCAGCUUCCAGGAUGAGAGAGUUGUGAGGUCAGAGCUCAGCGGUUCACUGAAGACACAAACAUGUGCAAUGCCCCACUUUCUGAAGACUCAGUGGUGAG